rnacentral:rRNA from 2 species
UUGACCUCAAAUCGGGUGAGACUACCCGCUGAACUUAAGCAUAUCAAUAAGCGGAGGAAAAGAAACUAACAAGGAUUCCCCUAGUAACUGCGAGUGAAGCGGGAAAAGCUCAAAUUUAAAAUCUGGUGGCCUUUGGUCAUCCGAGUUGUAAUUUAGAGAAGCGUCUUCCGCGCUGGACCGUGCACAAGUCUCCUGGAAUGGAGCGUCAUAGAGGGUGAGAAUCCCGUCUUUGGCACGGAUCCCGGUGCUUAUGUGAUGCGCUCUCGAAGAGUCGAGUUGUUUGGGAAUGCAGCUCAAAAUGGGUGGUGAACUCCAUCUAAAGCUAAAUAUUGGCGAGAGACCGAUAGCGAUCAAGUACCGUGAGGGAAAGAUGAAAAGCACUUUGGAAAGAGAGUGAAACAGUACGUGAAAUUGUUGAAAGGGAAACGCUUGAAGUCAGUCGCGUCGUCCGAGA